ACUCAAAUGAAUUGACGGGGACCCGCACAAGCAGAGGAGGAUGUGGUUUAAUAUGACGGUACGCGUAGAACCUUACCAAGGCUUGACAUCUCUGGAAUCCGCUGGAAACAGUGGAGUGCCGCAAGGAACCAGAUGACAGGUGCUGCAUGGCCGUCGUCAGCUCGUGUUGUGAAAUGUUGGGUUAAGUCCCGCAACGAGCGCAACCCUUAUCGUAUGUUGUAUUUUUCAUGCGAGACUGCCCGGGCCAACCGGGAGGAAGGUGGGGAUGAAGUCAGGUCGGCAUGGCCCUUACGCCUUGGGCUACACACGUCCUACAAUGGCCGGUACAACGCGUUGCUAAGCCGCGAGGCGGAGCUAAUCGCAUCAAAACCGGUCCCAGUUCGGAUUGGAGGCUGCAACUCGCCUCCAUGAAGUCGGAUUUGCUAGUAAACGCAGGUCAGCACACUGCGUUGAAUACGUUCCCGGGUCUUGUACACACCGCCCGU
rnacentral:rRNA from 1 species